rnacentral:lncRNA from 1 species
UGCACUUUAUCUGGGCUUUGCCUGCUUUUGUGGAAGGGAAGGUUACUAGAGGAUAUAAUCUGGUGUUUUAAUUUAUUGUCUCUCCUACAGGGAAUGUGGAGAAAAAAACCACAGAAAUUGGAAAGAACCAAUAUUUAGUUUAUUUCAUUCGAUUCUCAGGGCAACUGGUGAGGAGCCUAAGAUAAUUUUCCCUUCCCAGAGGAAGAAUCCAAGGUCUAGGGAAACAGCGACAAGGGAGUCCAAGACUGCCCCUGCCAGGCCUUCCUUGGCUACUCCCCGCUGCGACUGCAGGAUGAGAAUCCGGCAUGUGUGUGGAUGAGAGUGUGUUGAACAACUUGCAACCUUUUAUGAAAUAUGCAUUGUCAUGCUUGCAUUGUGAUGGUUUCCUAAAAUGCUUUCCGGAAGACUUUUGUCUUGGCUAAUCAAGUCUUUACUUAUACAAAAUUUGAGAAAACAUGCUAACAACCUUCUUAUUCCCUUGAAGACCAGAGUAGGAGAAAACAGUAGAUUUGCAUUAUAAAAUUGCACUCACUUUGUCCUUCUUUCGGAUUUCACAUUGCAAAAGCCCAUCAUCUGUGGUACAGUGUUUUAAACAAUGGAACGGGAGCCCCCCCCCCUGCACUGUUUUCCUUUAAAAAUAGAUCACUAACACCCUAACUUUGUUUUUCUUAAAUUCGAGUCUUAACAGGAGAGCUGUCUAUUAUUUCAAAUGAAGUGAGGUUGCACUACUGGGAGGGAAGAAAGAAAUCCAUUAAUUUUGGGGGGAUUUCUGUUCUCUGUUAGUCCAAGACCACCUUACUUGGGGUGUGGGGUGCGCGCGGCGGUCCGGGCAGUGGAGCGCAGUCGCGGCUGCGCCAACCCUGCACUUCCAGGCGCGCGGGAGGGACCGGCGGGGACGCGAGUUGCGGACUCCAGCGAGCUCGGGGAGGCAGACAAGGGGAGGCGGACACAGCCGGCAGGCGCCCCAGCCUUCCCGCCGCCGGCCGGUUCUUUUCCUGACAGCUCCAGGCAAGGCAGACUCUUUCCGCAGCCAGCCAGGUCUCACUAUGCUGCCCAGGCUGGACGUGAACCCUUAGGCUCAAGUGAUCCUCCCGCCUCAG